AUGGGGGAAACCCUGAUGCAGCCAUGCCGCGUGUGUGAAGAAGGCCUUCGGGUUGUAAAGCACUUUCAGUAGGGAGGAAAGGGUGAGUCUUAAUACGGCUCAUCUGUGACGUUACCUACAGAAGAAGGACCGGCUAACUCCGUGCCAGCAGCCGCGGUAAUACGGAGGGUCCGAGCGUUAAUCGGAAUUACUGGGCGUAAAGCGUGCGCAGGCGGUUUGUUAAGCGAGAUGUGAAAGCCCUGGGCUCAACCUAGGAAUAGCAUUUCGAACUGGCGAACUAGAGUCUUGUAGAGGGGGGUAGAAUUCCAGGUGUAGCGGUGAAAUGCGUAGAGAUCUGGAGGAAUACCGGUGGCGAAGGCGGCCCCCUGGACAAAGACUGACGCUCAUGCACGAAAGCGUGGGGAGCAAACAGGAUUAGAUACCCUGGUAGUCCACGCCGUAAACGAUGUCGAUUUGGAGGCUGUGUCCUUGAGACGUGGCUUCCGGAGCUAACGCGUUAAAUCGACCGCCUGGGGAGUACGGCCGCAAGGUUAAAACUCAAAUGAAUUGACGGGGGCCCGCACAAGCGGUGGAGCAUGUGGUUUAAUUCGAUGCAAC
rnacentral:rRNA from 1 species